AGACCAGGUGCCGGACUUUGUUGUGGUCACAUCUCUAUUGCAUACACACAGAGAAAAACCUCUACAAAAAUGUUAUUUCCAGCCUCUGCAACUUUCUUGAAAGUCUAGCAAUCAAUAACAUAUUAAAGCCCAGGCUGCUCUUUUUAAAACAUUGCACGAAAGCCUCAGGGACUGGAUGGAAUCUACACCAGAAAGUGUUUGGGAUUAAGUGGGGUUUCUACUGAGAAAAGACAGCUCUUCCCAGGAAAAUGAUAUAAAAAACUCACAGCAGUGACCUCUUCACUCUUAGCGCAGUACAGAUCUCUUCAGCUUCUCAACACUCACACUCCCCCACAGCUAUGCUUCCCAGGCAGAAAGCAGCAUAAUCCCUAACUAAGCAAAACCUCUUCUGUUUGUUAACUAAUUGCCUUUCAUACAGCUAUCUGAGUUAGAAAUCUGCCCGUAUUUUACUACAAAAGCAGAACGCUCCUACAAGAUAGUGAUUACCAGAGGCGGCAGAAAAAAGAGCACUGGAAAGAAACAAGACUGCUAUGUUUCUUCUAUGUAUUCUCCAAGGUGCUUAUGUCAAAAUCCUCUUCCAGGACAACUGAU